rnacentral:rRNA from 1 species
AAAUUGAAGAGUUUGAUCAUGGCUCAGAUUGAACGCUGGCGGCAGGCCUAACACAUGCAAGUCGAACGGUAACAGGAAACAGCUUGCUGUUUCGCUGACGAGUGGCGGACGGGUGAGUAAUGUCUGGGAAACUGCCUGAUGGAGGGGGAUAACUACUGGAAACGGUAGCUAAUACCGCAUAACGUCGCAAGACCAAAGAGGGGGACCUUCGGGCCUCUUGCCAUCGGAUGUGCCCAGAUGGGAUUAGCUUGUUGGUGGGGUAACGGCUCACCAAGGCGACGAUCCCUAGCUGGUCUGAGAGGAUGACCAGCCACACUGGAACUGAGACACGGUCCAGACUCCUACGGGAGGCAGCAGUGGGGAAUAUUGCACAAUGGGCGCAAGCCUGAUGCAGCCAUGCCGCGUGUAUGAAGAAGGCCUUCGGGUUGUAAAGUACUUUCAGCGGGGAGGAAGGGAGUAAAGUUAAUACCUUUGCUCAUUGACGUUACCCGCAGAAGAAGCACCGGCUAACUCCGUGCCAGCAGCCGCGGUAAUACGGAGGGUGCAAGCGUUAAUCGGGAAUUACUGGGCGUAAAGCGCACGCAGGCGGUUUGUUAAGUCAGAUGUGAAAUCCCCGGGCUCAACCUGGGAACUGCAUCUGAUACUGGCAAGCUUGAGUCUCGUAGAGGGGGGUAGAAUUCCAGGUGUAGCGGUGAAAUGCGUAGAGAUCUGGAGGAAUACCGGUGGCGAAGGCGGCCCCCUGGACGAAGACUGACGCUCAGGUGCGAAAGCGUGGGGAGCAAACAGGAUUAGAUACCCUGGUAGUCCACGCCGUAAACGAUGUCGACUUGGAGGUUGUGCCCUUGAGGCGUGGCUUCCGGAGCUAACGCGUUAAGUCGACCGCCUGGGGAGUACGGCCGCAAGGUUAAAACUCAAAUGAAUUGACGGGGGCCCGCACAAGCGGUGGAGCAUGUGGUUUAAUUCGAUGCAACGCGAAGAACCUUACCUGGUCUUGACAUCCACGGAAGUUUUCAGAGAUGAGAAUGUGCCUUCGGGAACCGUGAGACAGGUGCUGCAUGGGGUUGUCGUCAGCUCGUGUUGUGAAAUGUUGGGUUAAGUCCCGCAACGAGCGCAACCCUUAUCCUUUGUUGCCAGCGGUCCGGCCGGGAACUCAAAGGAGACUGCCAGUGAUAAACUGGAGGAAGGUGGGGAUGACGUCAAGUCAUCAUGGCCCUUACGACCAGGGCUACACACGUGCUACAAUGGCGCAUACAAAGAGAAGCGACCUCGCGAGAGCAAGCGGACCUCAUAAAGUGCGUCGUAGUCCGGAUUGGAGUCUGCAACUCGACUCCAUGAAGUCGGAAUCGCUAGUAAUCGUGGAUCAGAAUGCCACGGUGAAUACGUUCCCGGGCCUUGUACACACCGCCCGUCACACCAUGGGAGUGGGUUGCAAAAGAAGUAGGUAGCUUAACCUUCGGGAGGGCGCUUACCACUUUGUGAUUCAUGACUGGGGUGAAGUCGUAACAAGGUAACCGUAGGGGAACCUGCGGUUGGAUCACCUCCUUA